rnacentral:rRNA from 1 species
AGUGAACGCUGGCGGUAGGCCUAACACAUGCAAGUCGAACGGCAGCACAGGAGAGCUUGCUCUCUGGGUGGCGAGUGCGGACGGGUGAGGAAUACAUCGGAAUCUACUCUGUCGUGGGGGAUAACGUAGGGAAACUUACGCUAAUACCGCAUACGACCUACGGGUGAAAGCAGGGGAUCUUCGGACCUUGCGCGAUUGAAUGAGCAGAUGUCGGAUUAGCUAGUUGGCGGGGUAAAGGCCCACCAAGGCGACGAUCCGUAGCUGGUCUGAGGGGAUGAUCAGCCACACUGGAACUGAGACACGGUCCAGACUCCUACGGGAGGCAGCAGUGGGGAAUAUUGGACAAUGGGCGCAAGCCUGAUCCAGCCAUACCGCGUGGGUGAAGAAGGCCUUCGUGUUGUAAAGCCCUUUUGUUGGGAAAGAAAUCCAGCUGGCUAAUACCCGGUUGGGAUGACGGUACCCAAAGAAUAAGCACCGGCUAACUUCGUGCCAGCAGCCGCGGUAA